rnacentral:rRNA from 1 species
UACGUAGGGAGCGAGCGUUAUCCGGAAUUAUUGGGCGUAAAGCGUGCGUAGGCGGUUUUUUAAGUCAAAUGUGAAAGCCCACAGCUUAACUGUGGAGGGUCAUUUGAAACUGGUUGGCUAGAGUGCAGGAGAGGGUAGUGGAAUUCCAGGUGUAGGGGUGAAAUCCGUAGAGAUCACCAGGAAUACCCAUUGCGAAGGCGAUCUGCUGGAACUCAACUGACGCUGAGGCACGAAAGCGUGGGGAGCAAAC